rnacentral:rRNA from 1 species
AAAUUGAAGAGUUUGAUCAUGGCUCAGAUUGAACGCUGGCGGCAGGCCUAACACAUGCAAGUCGAACGGUAACAGGAAGCAGCUUGCUGCUUUGCUGACGAGCGGCGACGGGUGAGUAAUGUCUGGGAAACUGCCUGAUGAGGGGAUAACUACUGGAAACGGUAGCUAAUACCGCAUAACGUCGCAAGACCAAAGAGGGGGACCUUCGGGCCUCUUGCCAUCGGAUGUGCCCAGAUGGGAUUAGCUAGUAGGUGGGGUAACGGCUCACCUAGGCGACGAUCCCUAGCUGGUCUGAGAGGAUGACCAGCCACACUGGAACUGAGACACGGUCCAGACUCCUACGGGAGGCAGCAGUGGGGAAUAUUGCACAAUGGGCGCAAGCCUGAUGCAGCCAUGCCGCGUGUAUGAAGAAGGCCUUCGGGUUGUAAAGUACUUUCAGCGGGGAGGAAGGGAGUAAAGUUAAUACCUUUGCUCAUUGACGUUACCCGCAGAAGAAGCACCGGCUAACUCCGUGCCAGCAGCCGCGGUAAUACGGAGGGUGCAAGCGUUAAUCGGAAUUACUGGGCGUAAAGCGCACGCAGGCGGUUUGUUAAGUCAGAUGUGAAAUCCCCGGGCUCAACCUGGGAACUGCAUCUGAUACUGGCAAGCUUGAGUCUCGUAGAGGGGGGUAGAAUUCCAGGUGUAGCGGUGAAAUGCGUAGAGAUCUGGAGGAAUACCGGUGGCGAAGGCGGCCCCCUGGACGAAGACUGACGCUCAGGUGCGAAAGCGUGGGGAGCAAACAGGAUUAGAUACCCUGGUAGUCCACGCCGUAAACGAUGUCGACUUGGAGGUUGUGCCCUUGAGGCGUGGCUUCCGGAGCUAACGCGUUAAGUCGACCGCCUGGGGAGUACGGCCGCAAGGUUAAAACUCAAAUGAAUUGACGGGGGCCCGCACAAGCGGUGGAGCAUGUGGUUUAAUUCGAUGCAACGCGAAGAACCUUACCUGGUCUUGACAUCCACGGAAGUUUUCAGAGAUGAGAAUGUGCCUUCGGGAACCGUGAGACAGGUGCUGCAUGGCUGUCGUCAGCUCGUGUUGUGAAAUGUUGGGUUAAGUCCCGCAACGAGCGCAACCCUUAUCCUUUGUUGCCAGCGGUCCGGCCGGGAACUCAAAGGAGACUGCCAGUGAUAAACUGGAGGAAGGUGGGGAUGACGUCAAGUCAUCAUGGCCCUUACGACCAGGGCUACACACGUGCUACAAUGGCGCAUACAAAGAGAAGCGACCUCGCGAGAGCAAGCGGACCUCAUAAAGUGCGUCGUAGUCCGGAUUGGAGUCUGCAACUCGACUCCAUGAAGUCGGAAUCGCUAGUAAUCGUGGAUCAGAAUGCCACGGUGAAUACGUUCCCGGGCCUUGUACACACCGCCCGUCACACCAUGGGAUGGGUUGCAAAAAGAGUAGGUAGCUUAACCUUCGGGAGGGCGCUUACCACUUUGUGAUUCAUGACUGGGGGUGAAGUCGUAACAAGGUAACCGUAGGGAACCUGCGGUUGGAUCACCUCCUUA